rnacentral:lncRNA from 1 species
GCCGGACUGAAAUAAGCAGACCCCAGCCUCUGCCCGGGGCUCAGCGCCAUUCACAGACCAGGGGUAGAGAGAGCAAUGGACACAUCAGCCAGCAAACCCAGUCUGGGAACCAGCACCCUGCGUGCACAGCCGGCCCCCGGCCCCUUCUGGUGCGCGGGCUGUCAGACAAGAAGUAGUGAUCCCCCACCCUUCGCCAUAAGCAACUGGCUUCUCUGGAGAAACACAGCUGUGGUGAUAGCUGUGCAGCCCCACUCUGCCAGGCGGACUUCCGAAGGAGGGUCGGACCCCACAUCUGGGCUCCAGAGUCCUCUGACUCCCUCGCCCUGCCUAACUCCCCAGCGCAGCCCAAUCAGCUGGUGAAAAGGGACACGGGCUUGGUCAAGGGUUUGUCUUCAGAGUUCCCGGUCAAGAAGCAGAGAUUUUUUAAGAGAGAGGAUGCUCCAGCCAAACCAGCCUCAUACCAAGAAAGAAGACACAAAUCCUAGCAAGAGACGACCCGAACCGAGAGAAGAGAAGGGCCCGGCAGCUGCCCAGCAGGCGCAGGACGUUUCAGCACUGCGGGCUGCAGGUGCUUCCAUCUCCCUGCAAACGACCCCGGGGUGUUCUGACUGCGGACUUGGACUGCACUGCGGUAGAGAUCAGUCAUUGAUGUCGCUGAUCCACCAGCGAUGGGUGACAGGUGCAGGCUGCUUCCCCCACACUCAGCGCCCUGACCCCUCCCACCCCAACGUCCCCUUUCCAGGCUUGUUUGGGAAAGAGGUUGGUUGGAAAUACAUCUGGCUACAGCCAAGAACCGAGGCAUGCGGGUCAUGUCGUGUCCGUGUCUCUA